rnacentral:rRNA from 1 species
GUAGGGUGCAAGCGUUAUCCGGAAUUAUUGGGCGUAAAGAGCUCGUAGGCGGUCUGUCGCGUUUGCUGUGAAAUCCCGAGGCUCAACCUCGGGCUUGCAGUGGGUACGGGCAGACUAGAGUGCGGUAGGGGAGAUUGGAAUUCCUGGUGUAGCGGUGGAAUGCGCAGAUAUCAGGAGGAACACCGAUGGCGAAGGCAGAUCUCUGGGCCGUAACUGACGCUGAGGAGCGAAAGGGUGGGGAGCAAACAGGCUUAGAUACCCUGGUAGUCCACCCCGUAAACGUUGGGAACUAGUUGUGGGGUCCUUUCCACGGAUUCCGUGACGCAGCUAACGCA